rnacentral:rRNA from 1 species
UACGUAGGGUGCAAGCGUUGUCCGGAAUUAUUGGGCGUAAAGAGCUCGUAGGCGGUUUGUCGCGUCUGCUGUGAAAACUCGGGGCUUAACCCCGGGCCUGCAGUGGGUACGGGCAGACUAGGGUGCGGUAGGGGAGACUGGAAUUCCUGGUGUAGCGGUGAAAUGCGUAGAUAUUGGGAGGAACACCGGUGGCGAAGGCGGCCAUCUGGACCGGUCCUGACGCUGAGGCGCGAAAGCGUGGGGAGCAAACAGG